GCCAGGCACAGUGGCCCAUGUCUGUAUUCCCAGCUACUCCAGAGGUUGAGGCAGAAGGCUCAUCUUGAGCCCAGUUCUGGGCUGUAGUGUGCUAUGCGGAUUGGGUGCCUGUACUAAGUUCAGCAUCAACAUGGUGACUUCCUGGGAACAAGGGACCACUAGAUUGCCUAAGGAGGGGUGAAUCAACUCAGGACAGAAAUUGAGCAGGUCAGAAUUCCUGCUGAUCAGUAGUUGGAUAGUGCCUGUGUAUGGCCACUGCACUCAAGCCUGGACUACAUAGCAAGACCACGUCUCUU
rfam:Nomascus leucogenys chromosome 6, whole genome shotgun sequence.